UACGGAGGGUGCAAGCGUUAUCCGGAUUCACUGGGUUUAAAGGGUGCGUAGGUGGGCAGGUAAGUCAGUGGUGAAAUCUUUGGGCUUAACCCGAAAACUGCCAUUGAUACUAUCUGUCUUGAAUGUUGUGGAGGUGGGCGGAAUAUGUCAUGUAGCGGUGAAAUGCUUAGAUAUGGCAUAGAACACCCAUUGCGAAGGCAGCUCGCUACACUAUUAUUGACGCUGAGGCACGAAAGCGUGGGGAUCAAACAGG
rnacentral:rRNA from 1 species